ensembl:lncRNA
UCAAAUUUUUCAAGUGCCUGGCAAAAGAGUACACAAAUCUUUCCUCCAGACAAGCUACUUGAAUUACGAGCCCUUGCUUUUAUACAUAUAUAUGUAUAUAUAUACAUAUUUACCCAAAGGGAAAUUCACAGAUAUGGAAAAUAAUAAAUCUUUCACUGCUUUAUUUGAUUCUUCCUUUGACUCAGCUUCAAAAGACAGACUGUGGGGUUUUAAUCUGACCAAAGGCCAAUGGAGUCAGUGCUUUGUUGGAGGACUGCCAUGGAAAUGGGGAGUGAUGCAGCUCCGGAGGAGGCACAUUACGCUGAGGCACUUUGAUGGUGUGUGACUUGGUUUAAGAAAUUGAAAGUCGACAUAAACCUUGCCUUAAUACUGCAGUCUGUGGAAGGAACAAGCACGGGCUUUCUGAGGGGUGAGGGCUUGCAACACGCGAGGCUUGUGAGCUGUUAGACCAAACAUCUGGGACCUCCAGAAUGGCUGCAUUGAUGGAUCCAGCAGAAGUCACAAAGGCAAACUGGCAGCUGUAUCACUACCAGUUGGUCACCAGCAAUCGUGACUGCAUACUUGAACAGACAUGCCAAAAAUAUUCUCUGCUGUAGGAUUUAUUUGCUAGUUCAGAAGCAUUUUAUAAUAGCAGAUAAAGAAACUCUGUUGGAUUGUCCCCAUUCGUACUCCUAGUAAAAACGAACUAUACAGUGCAAAUGAUAUUUUUCCACCCUUUUUAAUUAGCUAAUAUGCUAUGCGGCAUGGUUUACUUCUGACCCUAUUCUGGGAGGUUAGAAACAUAGACAGCAAUGGGAUACUUUGGUUCUUUUAAUUUGAUCAUCUUAUUUUAAUAUAUAUGUGUACAAAUAGCCAAGAUCUUUCUCUUGGAGGUGAACAAUUCUUUCUAUUACUGAAAAGCUAUACAGAUAAAAUAUGUUGCAUUUAUGUCACUGCAAAAUCCUAAAAUACAUCCAUUGUUCUCAGAUGUCUCGGAGAGUUACUCUUCCUCUGGCAUUGGCUGUUAGGCUGUUUUCACUGUCUUGGGAGCUUCACAAAGGUAUAAGCAACAGCAUGCUUUGUGCAGUGACUUUGAUCUGUAGACUUCAAACAAAUGUGCUAUGCAAGCGUUUGUCACAGACCCAACAGUCUAGCAGGAGCUGGAACCCAUUCUACAGCCAAACCCAGCUGUUUUGAUUCUGUCUUUGUAUCCUCACCUUAGCAGGAACAGGAACGACUUAAAUGGCUUCAGCCUUCAGCUGACCUUAUGUCAAUGCGUAUUCAGGUGAAUCAGGCUAGAUUUUGGAGAGUUAACAGCAUGGAUAAUCACCAAGCAGGGCACACCACUGCAGUCAGAUCCCAGCCAAAAAUAGCGUUCAUAUUCUUGACCCAGGAUGGGGAGAUUAUUUUUUUUCUGUCAGAAGGCUGUAAUGUAGUGGAAACUACAGUUUCAUUCCUAGUGGUUGAAGAUUUUGGUGCUAAGCAGUUUCUUCUGGUAAAAUAUUUUAAGUAGUGACAUAAUUUCC